rnacentral:rRNA from 1 species
GAUGAACGCUGGCGGCGUGCCUAAUACAUGCAAGUCGAGCGAACAGACGAGGAGCUUGCUCCUCUGACGUUAGCGGCGGACGGGUGAGUAACACGUGGAUAACCUACCUAUAAGACUGGGAUAACUUCGGGAAACCGGAGCUAAUACCGGAUAAUAUAUUGAACCGCAUGGUUCAAUAGUGAAAGACGGUUUUGCUGUCACUUAUAGAUGGAUCCGCGCCGCAUUAGCUAGUUGGUAAGGUAACGGCUUACCAAGGCAACGAUGCGUAGCCGACCUGAGAGGGGGGAUGGCCCACACGGAAAGGGGGCACGGGCCAGAAUCCCAAGGGGGGGAGAAGUAGGGAAUUUUCCGGAAAGGGGGGAAACCCUAAGGAGGAAAGCCGCGGUGGGUAUGAAGGGUUUUGGAUCGGAAAAACCUGUUUUUAGGGAAGAAAAAAAUUGUAAGGAAAUUAGACAGUUUUGAAGGGAACUAAACAGAAAGCCCCGGGUAAAUAAGGG